rnacentral:rRNA from 1 species
AUUGAACGCUGGCGGCAUGCUUUACACAUGCAAGUCGAACGGUAACAGGCCGCAAGGUGCUGACGAGUGGCGAACGGGUGAGUAAUGCAUCGGAACGUGCCCAGUCGUGGGGGAUGACGCAGCGAAAGCUGCGCUAAUACCGCAUACGAUCUAUGGAUGAAAGCGGGGGACCGUAAGGCCUCGCGCGAUUGGAGCAGCCGAUGUCAGAUUAGGUAGUUGGUGGGGUAGAGGCUCACCAAGCCAACGAUCUGUAGCUGGUCUGAGAGGACGACCAGCCACACUGGGACUGAGACACGGCCCAGACUCCUACGGGAGGCAGCAGUGGGGAAUUUUGGAUAAUGGGCGCAAGCCUGAUCCAGCAAUGCCGCGUGCAGGAAGAAGGCCUUCGGGUUGUAAACUGCUUUUGUACGGAACGAAACGGUCCGGGUUAAUACCCUGGGCUAAUGACGGUACCGUAAGAAUAAGCACCGGCUAACUACGUGCCAGCCGCCGCGGUAAAAC